rnacentral:rRNA from 1 species
GCGAUCAUACCAGCACUAAUGCUUCGGAUCCCAUCAGAACUCCGCAGU